rnacentral:rRNA from 1 species
UAUGAUCCAGAGUACCACGGGACACGUGAAACCCUGUGGGAAGCAGGAGGGACCACCCUCCAAGGCUAAAUACUACCUAGUGACCGAUAGCGUAUAGUACCGUGAGGGAAAGGUGAAAAGAACCCCGGGAGGGGAGUGAAAUAGAACCUGAAACCCUGCACUUUCAAGCUGGGGAAGCACAUUUCUUGUGUGACCGCGUACUUUUUGUAGAACGGGCCAACGAGUUACGUUAAGUAGCAAGGUUAAGCACUUAAGGUGCGGAGCCGUAGCGAAAGCGAGUUUUAACUGAGCGUUCAGUU